UCGUUGCCCCUUGAUUUUAUCACAGUUC
rnacentral:piRNA from 1 species